rnacentral:rRNA from 1 species
GGGGAAUAUUGCACAAUGGGGGAAACCCUGAUGCAGCAACGCCGCGUGAAGGAUGAAGGUUUUCGGAUUGUAAACUUCUUUAGUCAGGGACGAAAAAAUGACGGUACCUGAAGAAUAAGCCACGGCUAACUACGUGCCAGCAGCCGCGGUAAUACGUAGGUGGCAAGCGUUGUCCGGAAUUACUGGGUGUAAAGGGCGUGUAGGCGGGAAUGUAAGUCAGAUGUGAAAUCCCAGGGCUUAACCCUGGAGCUGCAUCUGAAACUAUGUUUCUUGAGUGCCGGAGAGGAAAGCGGAAUUCCUAGUGUAGCGGUGAAAUGCGUAGAUAUUAGGAGGAACACCAGUGGCGAAGGCGGCUUUCUGGACGGUAACUGACGCUGAAGCACGAAAGCAUGGGUAGCAAAC